rnacentral:rRNA from 1 species
AUUGAACGCUGGCGGCAGGCCUAACAUAUGCAAGUCGAGCGGAUGAAGGGAGCUUGCUCCUGGAUUCAGCGGCGGACGGGUGAGUAAUGCCUAGGAAUCUGCCUGGUAGUGGGGGAUAACGUCCGGAAACGGGCGCUAAUACCGCAUACGUCCUGAGGGAGAAAGUGGAGGAUCUUCGGACCUCACGCUAUCAGAUGAGCCUAGGUCGGAUUAGCUAGUUGGUGGGGUAAAGGCCUACCAAGGCGACGAUCCGUAACUGGUCUGAGAGGAUGAUCAGUCACACUGGAACUGAGACACGGUCCAGACUCCUACGGGAGGCAGCAGUGGGGAAUAUUGGACAAUGGGCGAAAGCCUGAUCCAGCCAUGCCGCGUGUGUGAAGAAGGUCUUCGGAUUGUAAAGCACUUUAAGUUGGGAGGAAGGGCAGUAAGUUAAUACCUUGCUGUUUUGACGUUACCAACAGAAUAAGCACCGGCUAACUUCGUG